rnacentral:lncRNA from 1 species
UGCAAAGUGCAAACAUAUGCAGGUAAAAAAUUAAUUAAAAUACAGUUCAAGUGGAUAAUAAUCAAAAUACAAAAUCAUACAAUAUAUGUAAACUAACCACUCUGACAUCAAGCUUAAAAAAAUAAUGGCAUCAAUCUUUGAUGAUGUGACUUGUUGCAAGUAAAUGAAUAAAGCCAGGUUUGUCUCAGAAGUAAUAGAAUAAAGGUUGAAAAAGGCUAUUGAAAUGUAUUGUAGCCUAUGCAUCCAUAAUAGAUCAACAACCAGGCCGAAAAUUUAAAAGAUAAAAUGAUUGGCUUUGUCACUUUGUUAAUCUAAUAAAAUUAAGUCUGAAGAGAGAUUUCAAGUUUUGUGAUUGCUACAUGCAAUGAAGGCAAUGAGAUCAAUUCCAAAGAUUCAGCACAAUGCAUCAAAAGUUUUGACACCAGAUCAUUUAAAAACUUGAUGGUGAGUGUUCUCCAACAAUGGAAUGGAGGAAAAUUCAGCCAAUUAUCAUUUGAUGCAACAGUUACAUUAUUAGAAGUAUUAAAGUACAUAAAUUGGCAUCACGAUAAUGCACAAGUUCAGGAACGAAAACAUUUGUCAGAAAAUACAUACAGCACACAUAGAUGGGAGUAGUACCAAAAUAUUUAUAAUUUUUUAAAUUGUUGCAGAAUUGCUUUCAAAUAGAGCUGAAUGGCAAAAAAAAAAAAUCCAUGUAGCUGACCCAACUAAUUUGUGAUUAUUAUGUCUAGCAAAUGCACUUGGCAAGCGUUAUACUCGAGCAAACCUUGGAUCCAAGAGAUGCCAUGAGACAUAAUUUGUGUUAAUUUUGAGCAUGGCAGGACUCACUGAAGACAUAUAUUUCUCCAUUCAUCUUAGCUUAUUUGGAUUUUGUGUUUUCCUAGGUGCUUUCUUGGUUGUGUUGUGCCCGCCUGUGCUUAUGUUCCUGCUUCUUUCUUUCCUGCAGUUGCGGUGUGAGAUCUUAGCUCUUGUGUUCCGGCGAUAGGGAGUUUCAAUCAAUUGAAGCGACAAAGCGGGAGGUGUAGCCGCAAUAGCACCAGUUUUUAUAUGUCUGUUAGCUUUGGAGUGAAGCCGCAAGCAGGGUUUGUUUGGCGCUCCCGGAACUAUCAGAACUGAGGAAGCAGUUGGAUAAGCUUCUUGAGUCGGGCUUCAUAGACCAGAAGCUAUGCGCAAAUUCUCAUUGGAUCUCGGUUGUUCUUAACAGCGAUGGCUAUUCAUUUAAGUCUUCGGGUAGCACCACUAGAUCUUCAACAAGGUGGAAAUUCUCGUAUUCCGUAUGUACAUGUUCCUGCGGCUCGGAUGAGUAUUCUUGUUUAUAAUAUGCCUAUGAAUCCAAUCUCCAGUUCAAGCAGAAUUCAUCCCUACUGUUCUCCUUCACUAACUGAGAAAAUGUUCGUUACGCAGUACAGCUAGUUACCUCAGUGACUCAUCAGUUACGAAGCGUGAAGCCAAUGCUGGUGGAAGGUAUUGCUAGUUUCAACUUAAUCAUAUCCCCGCUUUCAACCCAUCUAUAGAAGGAAGCGUCGAAGGUUUUCAUUAAUACGAGUAACAUUCGAUUUUUUCCUCCUUGAUCCACUUGGUUCUAGAACUGUGGGCUAAGGCCGUUCCUAAGGUCAGUCCUCGCAGCGGCGGUCCAUCUUUUUCUCUGGGAUGAAUCGUUCUUUCGACAUACGCCCUACUUGAUCGUCUUCUUUUUACUCUAGCUGAAUCGGAUUAACGUCUUACCGGGGCAAUGGCGACAAAAACACCUUCUCCCGUACUUUUGCCGGGCCAGUGCCGCUCCCUCCCUACUCUCUGUCUCUGGGAGGGAAAAGCUCUCAACAAAGACAACAAACACUUCCUUUUCUACAAUAUUGGAUUCUAGUUUAACCAGCAUCUAAUUGCAUGGAUUUCAUCUAUCUUAUGCAUCUAGGUAAGCAGCAUCCACGGGAUUAGCCCCUUGAUCACCUUCUGAACCGAAACCCCUACUUGGGAACAGAUCUUGAGGGAGAGCCUGAGAUCAUAGAGUAGGGAGAGGGAAAAGGGUGUGAAAUCAUCCACCAUUCUUCAAUCAAUUUACUAAGAUACCACCACCCGAUUGUCCGCUAGGGAUAUAGAGACAAUCAGUCUUUUCGCCUUCAUUUAUGAGGAAUAAACGGAGGAGUCGGACGAAACACCAUUUUCUGAAGCAGGGGCAAGCCGUAUGCAGAUGAAAUCGCUGCCGAGUUGUGAGCAAAUCAACUUUGAUAGCAUAGAGAGAAAUAAAUUUCUUAGUCCCUCUUCUAUUAUUUAGGCUUCAAAAGUAAAUAAAUCCCUUCUACCCUUCACGCAUAUUUUACCACAAGGUAGCAAAACAAUGAGAAGUCAAUGUUAUUAGAAAAGCAAAAAUACCCUUCACAUGGCUACCUUUAUAUGUUCAUUAUGCUUUUUUGAACAAUAAUACAGAUCAUCCAGUAUGUUUCAUUUAUUAUAUGUUACUUUUUUUACAAAUUAUGAAAACCAAAUUACCCUGCCAUGUUGGGAUUGUGGUUCAAAUUGCAAGUUCCAAGAGCUCAAAUUUUAUAAAAACUUGAGAGUUUAAAUUGAGUUAAUGGAGUUUUUCAAAUAACAAAGCUAACAUGAUUUUGCAAUAAAACUGAAUGAUUCUAAUAUACUAUUUUACUUGCUCAAGAAUUUAUAAAUUGCAGAAUCAACUUUCUAUGCUUGCUCUUGCACACUUGCAUUUACUUGUCGUCCAGUCUUCUAGUUUCAAGUUUGAGCUAAUAAAUACGGUCACAAGGAACCCCAUGUCAUUUAGUUUUAGGUUAAGAUUUUUUUAGAUUUUAUUCUCUCUCCACUUUGGUGGAUUCUUAGGAAUGUGAGAGAAGCUGUAAUGCUGUAUUCUUGAAGUGGCCUACAAGAUGGUUACUCAGCUGUUCUACAGGAUUGCCCAUAUGGUGCUUGUAGCCUCACCAUUAUUGAAUUCUACUUAUAAGUUCAUGGCUCUAUCGAUUUACCUAAAAUCCAUCAUGCACCUUGUUCUUUCUAUAACCAUUAGUUCCAAAAUGUUAUUUGUAUCACAAUUCAGCUUAUUUAAGCAUCAAGUUCCAUUACAAGACAUCUAUUGGAUAUAUAUGUACCAGUUUCAUCAAGCCUAAUGCCUAGGAAUUAUAGGUAUGAAGCUAAGAUUAUUUUUCUUCACACUCUCUUUGAUUCCUACUCUUUCCACCACCUUUUUGCAGCAUGCCCAGGGGGUGGUGGAGGGGAAUAAGUGUUUGGGGAAUGUCAAGGGAUUUGCAACAAUCUCUAAAUCUGUUAAUUGUCCUUAUUAGUAUCUGUCACCCCAAAAAACAUAAUCAAUGUAUAAGUAAUAAGUAGACAAUUGCCUUCCUAUUAUUUGAGGUUCAUUAAAUUGAAAAUGGAAAUCCCGAAGAACGAAUUAACCCAUCCAAAGUAUAAAUAUGGAAAUUACUAUAAACCAAUAAAUAAUAAGAUAAUAAAGGUGAAAUCUGAGAAAAGCUACUGUAGAAUUCAGUACUCCAUGUUUAAGCCAUGAACAUGCUUAUGAGAAGAUUUGUCUAGCAAAUGUUUAAACCACGAAACACUUAAUUAAAUAGCAAAUGGACAGAACAAACUCGGCAUAAAUAAAUGUUCAAAAUAUGGAAGCAGGUGUGUAAGUAGCAAAUUUAAGAUAUAAACAACAUAAGAAGUGGCUAUAUGAAAUCAACAACAUAAGCUGCAGGUAAGAAACAAUAUGUACAGUGUGCCGGUAAGAUUACCAAG